rnacentral:tRNA from 1 species
AAUCAAGGAAUAGUUUAAGUAGAAUUUCA